rnacentral:lncRNA from 1 species
UUGGUUUGUUGUCAUAUGAACACACUACAACAUUUCAUGAUAUUGAAAUAAAAUUAUAGGAAUAAUUGCAAAUACUUACUUUAAAAAAAUCAUAAUUGAGUGUAAAACUAUAUAUAUAUAUACCGACCUUUCAAAUUAUGUCAAUGUUCUACUGUCACCUUUCAUACCAGUUCUAUCUCUAUCUCAUAUUUUAUCUGUUCAUGACAAUUUUUAGUCGUUGAUCUAAAACUUUAUUUUCCUCAUAGACUUAGUCUUUGUGUUCUGGUGGGAUCCAUUUUUAGAUACCUAUAACAAUAGAUCAUACUGCAUCAAAUACUUUGCAUGCAUUUAUAAAAAAGUUG